rnacentral:lncRNA from 1 species
UCAAACUCCCAUGUGGCCUGGUCUGCUGCUCUCCCCAGCCACUCCACUAGUAUCUGGGUUUCCAGUCGUCCUUCUACUCGUAUUCUGCGCUUCGCCAGCACUCGAACCGGCUCCACUACCUCAUCCUCCGGUGGGUCAUGUAUGAUUGGGCCGACAGAUGUCUUGGGUCCAAGCCGGGCCCUCAGAAGCGACACGUGGAAUACCGGAUGAACUCUCGAUGUAGUCGGCAAGUCCAAGCGAUACACCACGGGUCCAAUGCGCUCCAAUAUCUGAAAGGGCCCGUAGAAGCGAUGAGAGAGCUUCUGGUUCGCCAUAGGCCGCAGUGUCAACUGUCGAUAAGGCUGCACCUUGACGUAUACCCAGUCGCCCACCUCGUAUACUGAAUCUC